rnacentral:lncRNA from 1 species
AAAUUUUGCAUUUUGCUUAUGUCUAAGUAGGGAGCAUUAUUGAAUAAAUUUGGUUUUGGAAUCUAAAGUUGGGGAGAGUAAAGUAAAAAGAGUUGAUUAGAAACUUGGAGAAGUGAGUUUUUAUGAAAGGGUGAAAAUAUGAGAAGAAAUAAGAAAAAGAAAUCACCCUUGAAACCAUAGAGCAAAGAAAAAGAAAAGAAAGAAAAAAACAAAGAAAAGGCUCAUGGUUAUGUGGAUGUAAAAAUAAAAAGAAAAGAAAAAGACGGGGAUCAAAGAAAUGGAAAUUGUGUAGAGUUAAAUGUAUGGGAAUGCUCCCUUAAGAUAGGCAAUUUUGUUGAAUUCUCUUAAUCAUAUCCUUUCUUGUAACUCAAGACACAUUACAACCCUUGAAAGACCUCUUGAUUCUCAUUUUUCACAUGUUUUGGUAAUUGUUUUGAUGACCGCAUGAUUUGAGUUGUUG